rnacentral:rRNA from 1 species
AGAGUUUGAUCCUGGCUCAGAUUGAACGCUGGCGGCAUGCUUUACACAUGCAAGUCGAACGGUAACAGGGAGCUUGCUCCGCUGACGAGUGGCGAACGGGUGAGUAAUGCAUCGGAACGUGCCUAUUUGUGGGGGAUAACGUAGCGAAAGUUACGCUAAUACCGCAUACGCCCUGAGGGGGAAAGCGGGGGAUUCGUAAGAACCUCGCGCAAUUAGAGCGGCCGAUGUCGGAUUAGCUAGUUGGUGGGGUAAAGGCUCACCAAGGCGACGAUCCGUAGCGGGUCUGAGAGGAUGAUCCGCCACACUGGGACUGAGACACGGCCCAGACUCCUACGGGAGGCAGCAGUGGGGAAUUUUGGACAAUGGGCGAUUUUUUCCAAGAUCCAGCCAUGCCGCGUGAGUGAAGAAG